GUACCCGUUUGAGUGGUCCACUCCUCAGUCCAACUCUGAUCUUGGUGUGCAGGGCAGCAGUAAAGAGCUCUGGAGUCUGGGAAGUUCAAGAGCAUGGCACCAGCAUCUGGCAAGGGCUUUCAUGCUGCAUCAUCUCAUGGAGGAAAAUAAAAGGAUUUCAGGUGAAUCCAGAUUUGGAGCUUGAAUGACUCAAAUGCUUUGCCUACAUUGAUCCUACAUUCAGGCUGCUUACAUAUCUCUUGGCUUCUCUGAGAACCAGACUGUCACCACUCAAAGAUCUGUUGGAAUUUUCACAAAACCCUCUCAACUGAUUUCUUCUUCAUGAGAAAGUAAAAGCAAUGAAAAUGCCUUCAAGUUAACUAGGUCUUAUUAGGUACAAAUUGUUGCAAGGAAAGUGAGGUGGGAUGGAAGUAGAAGAUUGUUUUGAAAUCAUCUUACAAAUGUCAGCAUUCAGGACCUGAAUAAUCCAAGAUAACAAGAGCAGAUCAAUGAUCUCUAUAGAGAAUGCUCUACAAAGGACUUGGAAAGAACGGUAAACCCACAGGGCUUUCACCCUCUUCCUGUGAACAAUGGGGCUCAUAGGGUUUGCAAGAUACAGGAAGAAGUUCCUGUAGAUGCAAGACAAAGAAGGAAAGGUGAUCCAUCAACCUCCACCUGCUUUACAAACAGACAACCCC
rnacentral:lncRNA from 1 species